GACUACUGGGGUAUCUAAUCCCGUUUGCUCCCCUAGCUUUCGUGCAUCAGCGUCAGAAAAGACCCAGUAAGCCGCUUUCGCCACAGGUGUUCCUUACGAUAUCAACGCAUUUCACCGCUCCACCGUAAGUUCCGCUUACCUCUAUCUUCCUCAAGCACAGUAGUUUUGGGCGCAGUUCCUCGGUUGAGCCGAGGUAUUUCACACCCAACUUACUGCGCAGCCUACGCACCCUUUAAGCCCAGUAAUUCCGAAUAACGUUUGUGUGGUUCGUCUUACCGCGGCUGCUGGCACGAACUUAGCCCACACUUCCUCUGCGGAUAGGUCAAGCUCUGCUCUUCACAAAGCUUUCCUCCCCACUGACAGCGGUUUACAACCCGAAGGCCUUCAUCCCGCACGCGGCAUCGCUUGGUCAGGCUUUCGCCCAUUGCCAAAAAUUCUCGACUGCAGCCCCCCGUAGG
rnacentral:rRNA from 1 species